UCGCAGAAUUUUCCUUUGCUCACACCAUCAAAGCUUUUCUUUCAGCCAUGAAAGCUGGGUCAGCUCUCAAAGUGCUAAUUAUUUCGUUAAAUAAAACAGCCCCCUUUCUCAAUCUCUCCCUACUUAGGCUUGAGAGCAGGAAAUGAGAGCAGUACCUUUUUUUUUUUUCCCUUUUUUCUUUUCUUUUUCUUUUUUUUUUUUUUUUUUGGUAUCAGUGCUGGUUAACUUUCAAUACACUUGACGACACUCUCUGCUUUUCGUGGGAAAUUUUAUGAAUGUUGAGUUUGUUGGUGGGCUUAGAAGACUUGACGACUGUCUCAGCAAACGUAGCGGCACCACCUGGUACCCUGAAGCUUUCAGGUUCCAGAUACACAGAGCUGGCACUUCUCCUGAAGGAGUUCAGGUGGCAGCAGGGCCUGCGCCAUCAAAGGCCUGGUGGCAGUUAGAGAGCUGGAGCUCCCUCUUCAACCCUGAACCCGCCGUCUCUCUCUCCUACUAUUAACCCUCUACUUCUACCAUUGAAUCCAAAAGCCCAUCGCCCCUGUCAGAGUGAGCCUGCACUCUGCUUACCAGCAACGCUCCAGCUUGGAGCUUGGCUUCCUGACCCCACAGGUAUAGUGUGGGUCCAAGCCAGCCAUCUAGGACAGAGCCACGUGGCAGUGCAGGGGUUCUCACACUUCUGUGUGCAUCAGGACCACCUAGAGAGCUCGUGCAAGCAGCCUAUGGGGCCGCAGCCAUGGGGUUUCUGACCCAUUAGGUCUGGGGUGGGGCCU
rnacentral:lncRNA from 1 species